rnacentral:tRNA from 1 species
CUUAAACCUUUUCAUAGGUUUAACCAAUCCUAAAUCGACAGAAUUCCCAUCUUUAAAUUUCCA